ACACAAGAUAAGAGAUAAGAAUUAAAAUAUAGUGCUAUGGCAAAAACUAGUGCUUCAGUUGUUCUAGUUGUCCUUGUACUACCAUUAUUUUUGAAUGGCUAUAAUGCUGCUGAUCUACCUCCGAUAGCAGCACCAGUUGGCCCAAGACCUUGCUUUUUCGGAGUAUGUCCUAUUUUCAACUGUGCCACAUUUUGUUUUGGAAUAGGGUUUUCUUCCGGCGAGUGUGAUAGUAUUAUAAGGUGUUGUUGCAGAUGAAGAGUUUGAGAUAUCUAUGUUACAUGAUUGUACAAGCAUAUUAAGAGAGUUUUUAAGGUCCCUAUUAAAAUAAUUUGGAAAAACACUAUUGUAAGUUCAAUUACGAUGUAAUUUCCAAUAUUUUGGAUUGCCAGUAAUAAAGUAAAAUACCCUUGCACUUA